rnacentral:rRNA from 1 species
CAGCACGGAGCUUGCUCUGGUGGCGAGUGGCGAACGGGUGAGUAAUAUAUCGGAACGUACCCUGGAGUGGGGGAUAACGUAGCGAAAGUUACGCUAAUACCGCAUACGAUCUAAGGAUGAAAGUGGGGGAUCGCAAGACCUCAUGCUCGUGGAGCGGCCGAUAUCUGAUUAGCUAGUUGGUAGGGUAAAAGCCUACCAAGGCAUCGAUCAGUAGCUGGUCUGAGAGGACGACCAGCCACACUGGAACUGAGACACGGUCCAGACUCCUACGGGAGGCAGCAGUGGGGAAUUUUGGACAAUGGGCGAAAGCCUGAUCCAGCAAUGCCGCGUGAGUGAAGAAGGCCUUCGGGUUGUAAAGCUCUUUUGUCAGGGAAGAAACGGUGAGGGCUAAUAUCCCUUGCUAAUGACGGUACCUGAAGAAUAAGCACCGGCUAACUACGUGCCAGCAGCCGCGGUAAUACGUAGGGUGCAAGCGUUAAUCGGAAUUACUGGGCGUAAAGCGUGCGCAGGCGGUUUUGUAAGUCUGAUGUGAAAUCCCCGGGCUCAACCUGGGAAUUGCAUUGGAGACUGCAAGGCUAGAAUCUGGCAGAGGGGGGUAGAAUUCCACGUGUAGCAGUGAAAUGCGUAGAUAUGUGGAGGAACACCGAAGGCGAAGGCAGCCCCCUGGGUCAAGAUUGACGCUCAUGCACGAAAGCGUGGGGAGCAAACAGGAUUAGAUACCCUGGUAGUCC